rnacentral:rRNA from 1 species
AGUGAACGCUGGCGGUAGGCCUAACACAUGCAAGUCGAACGGCAGCACAGUAAGAGCUUGCUCUUACGGGUGGCGAGUGGCGGACGGGUGAGGAAUACAUCGGAAUCUACUUUUUCGUGGGGGAUAACGUAGGGAAACUUACGCUAAUACCGCAUACGACCUACGGGUGAAAGCAGGGGAUCUUCGGACCUUGCGCGAUUGAAUGAGCCGAUGUCGGAUUAGCUAGUUGGCGGGGUAAAGGCCCACCAAGGCGACGAUCCGUAGCUGGUCUGAGAGGAUGACAGCCCACACUGGAAUUGAACAACGGUCAAGCCCCCUAGGGGAGGGCGCGGGGGGGAAUUUUGGAAAAGGGGCGCAAGCCUGAUCCAGCCAUACCGGGGGGGGGAAGAAGGCCUUCGGGUUGUAAAGCCCUUUUUUUGGGAAAAAAAAGCAGCGGGUUAAUACCCCGCUGUUCUGACGGUACCAAAAGAAUAAGCACCGGCUAACUUCGU